rnacentral:rRNA from 1 species
UGGGGAAUUUUGCACAAUGGGCGGAAGCCUGAUGCAGCGACGCCGUGUGGGGGAUGAAGGCCUGCGGGUUGUAAACUCCUUUCGUCAGGGACGAAGUUUGUUUGACGGUACCUGGAUAAGAAGCACCGGCUAACUACGUGCCAGCAGCCGCGGUAAUACGUAGGGUGCGAGCGUUGUCCGGAUUUACUGGGCGUAAAGGGCUCGUAGGUGGUGUGUUGCGUCGUCUGUGUAAUCCAGGGGCUUAACUUUUGGUUGGCAGGCGAUACGGGCAUUGCUUGAGUGCUGUAGGGGAGACUGGAAUUCCUGGUGUAGCGGUGAAGUGCGCAGAUGUCAGGAGGAACACCGAUGGCGAAGGCAGGUCUCUGGGCAGUUACUGACGCUGAGGAGCGAGAGCAUGGGUAGCGAACAGG